AACGUAGACAUGGCCGACUAGGGUCAAAGUGUAGUAUCUGUUGUUAUCAGUUUAUAUCUGAUAGGGGUUGUAUUGGGGACUUAUUGGAUACUAAACUUAUUUUUGCAAGUUGGCGGAGGACUUAAAGCCUGCUUCACCUUCGUCGCGGGUCUGCCCGGUAUUCGCUAUCUUCAGGAUCGGCCCACGUAUG